UCCGAUAUGGUGUAGUGGCUAACAUUAUCGCCUCUCAUGGGCAGCCCAGUCAGGUUCAUAUGCGCGAUAGCCCGGGGUUCGAUUCCCCGUGUCGGAA